GACCCUGCAGCUCUGAGAGAGGAGCCUUAGCCCUGGGUUCCAAGGCACUUCCACUUGGUGAUCAGCCCUGAACACAGAGGACUCACCAUGGAGUUGGGGCUGAGCUGGGUUUUCCUUGUUGCUAUUUUAAAAGGUGUCCAGUGUGAGGUGCAGUUGGUGGAGUCUGGGGGAGGCUUGGUCCAGCCUGAAGGGUCCCUGAGACUCUCCUGUGCAGCCUCUGGAUUCACCUUUGGUGAUUAUACCAUGAGCUGGGUCCGGCAGGCUCCGGGAAAGGGGCUGGAGUGGGUCUCAUAUAUUAGUAGUGCUAGUAGUUACAUCAUAUACUACGCUGACUCCGUGAAGGGCCGAUUCACCAUCUCCAGAGACAAUGCCAAGAACUCGCUGUCUCUGCAAAUGAACAGCCUGAAAACCGAGGACACGGCCGUGUAUUACUGUGCUAGAGACACAGUGAGGCGAGAUUCCUCUGGGGCAGUUCUCUGGAUUCCUCAUCCUGUUCUUCCUGUGAAGUCUCUGAAGAAGAAACAUUUGUCGGAACAAGAGAAAAAUUUUCUCACACGCACCAAAGGCACAGUCACCCACAGUCACUGA